rnacentral:rRNA from 1 species
UACGUAGGGCGCAAGCGUUGUCCGGAAUUAUUGGGCGUAAAGAGCUCGUAGGCGGUUUGUCGUGUCUGCUGUGAAAACCUAAGGCUCAACCUUGGGCUUGCAGUGGGUACGGGCAGACUAGAGUGCGGUAGGGGAGACUGGAAUUCCUGGUGUAGCGGUGGAAUGCGCAGAUAUCAGGAGGAACACCGGUGGCGAAGGCGGGUCUCUGGGCAGUAAACUGACGCUGGAGGAGCGAAA